rnacentral:rRNA from 1 species
ACCCGCUGAACUUAAGCAUAUCAAUAAGCGGAGGAAAAGAAACUAACAAGGAUUCCCCUAGUAACUGCGAGUGAAGCGGGAAAAGCUCAAAUUUAAAAUCUGGCGGCCCCUGUGACCGUCCGAGUUGUAAUCUAGAGAAGUGUUAUCCGCGCUGGACCGUGUAAAAGUCUCUUGGAAUAGAGCGUCAUAGAGGGUGAGAAUCCCGUCUUUGACACGGACUGCCAGUGCUUUGUGAUGCGCUCUCGACGAGUCGAGUUGUUUGGGUAUGCAGCUCAAAAUGGGUGGUAAAUUCCAUCUAAAGCUAAAUAUUGGCGAGAGACCGAUAGCGAACAAGUACCGUGAGGGAAAGAUGAAAAGAACUUUGGAAAGAGAGUUAAACAGUACGUGAAAUUGUUGAAAGGGAAACGCUUGAAGUCAGUCGCGUUGGCCGGGGAUCAACCUUCUCUUGAGUUGGAGCACUUCCUGGUUGACGGGUCAGCAUCAAUUUUGAUCGUUGGAUAAAGGCUAGGGGAAUGUGGCAUCUUCGGAUGUGUUAUAGCCCUUGGUCACAUACAACGGUUGGGAUUGAGGAACUCAGCACGCCGCAAGGCCGGGGUUUUACCCACGUACGUGCUUAGGAUGCUGGCAUAAUGGCUUU